CAUCAUCACUUGUCUCUAUCGUCAUUGUAUAGCAAUUUAUUUUCUUUUUUUAUACAGAAAUUUCUUUACUCCAAAAAAAGUAUAGCACCUUCCCAAAAUUUAUUAUGCCUAUCUUUGUGGUUAAUUGAUGCAAUAAUCCAUGGAGGUGGAGCUGCUAUGGCGUUGUCAACAUUUAGUUCUGUGAUUUGUUUCUCCUACUUGCACAAAUAUUUAAGGUGUUGGAGACAUAUUAUGUUGGAUUUGUUGAUCUUAGCAGUUCUAUUGCUUGUCUUUUGAUAUGUGCAAGAAGUUCUCUUUAAAUUUCUCAGUCUCUCUCUAGUAAUAUUCUUUUUUCACUGUUUUUUUUUUUUUAACUAUUUAUCUUGUUUGCUUGAACUUCGUUGGUUAAUUACUCUACUCUUGUUGUAGUAUUUAUUCUUCCUCUUUCUACUUCUCCUCCGCUUCUGAUUCCUUCAAUCAUAUCAUUCUCCUCCAUUUCACAAUUUCCAACGCUUCUCUCUGCCAGCUUUCCCCAGAAGAACCUAAAAAUAAAUGUUUUAUAAUUGUGGAAGAAAGACAACAAAACCGAAAAGUCUCAGUCAGUGUUUGAUAUUGAUGUCGGGUUGGGCUCAUUAAAAGAAUCGCGAACAUGGCUCUUGGAAUGGAUGGAUUUUGUGGUCUCUUUCCACUAGGUGAUUAUUAUCUCGUAGCUGGUACAGAUGGUGUAGGAUCUAAACUUAAGUUGGCCUUUGAGACUUUAAUCACUCCAUUGGAAUUGACUUGGUUGCUAUGAGUGUGAAUGAUAUUGUUACUUUAUGGUGCAAAGUCACAGUUUUUCCUAGACUUUUCAGCUCAGAAAAUAUUCAUCAAUGGAAUGUGACUUGUACUGUAAGCCUCAUUUUGAACAGCUCUUAAAGGAUUAUGGUAGCUUCAACAAGAACUUUUAGUCUUAUAUGCACAUUUGUUGUUCUUACUGCUUUUCAUAUAAUCUUAAGUUUUGAUGUUUUUCAUGUAGGAUCUUUGAAACAGACAAUGUUUGUAUGUUUUGUCCGAAGUUUCAAGAAUGAUAUGAGGUUGUUGAUGAUUAUGAUAUGAACCACAACACAGAGAAGGUAGAGGAUCUUGGGAACAUGCUGACGAGUUUGGAUCGAGCAGACUCAAUCAUGCAUAAAGUCAUUUCCAACAUGCUUAGCUUGGCUAAUAUAUCAACUAGCAAGUUUUUUCUUGAUUAAUUGUGCAACAUCCGGUUAGGAAUCACGAGUACAUAUACUCUAUCUUUUAUAUUUAUACACUCAAACUUAUAAUCAUUAUAUUGUCUUAAUAUGCAUUCACAUUACAAUACCUAAAGCAUGUUCUAGAUAUUAUUGUCAUAACCCGGAUUAUCUUUGCAUUA